UGAGGUAAUGGCUCACCAAGCCGACGAUCUAUAGCUGGUCUGAGAGGAUGAUCAGCCACAUUGGGACUGAGACACGGCCCAAACUCCUACGGGAGGCAGCAGUGGGGAAUAUUGGACAAUGGGCGCAAGCCUGAUCCAGCCAUGCCGCGUGAGUGAUGGAGGCCCUAGGGUUGUAAAGCUCUUUCACCGAUGAAGAUAAUGACUGUAGUCGGAGAAGAAGCCCCGGCUAACUUCGUGCCAGCAGCCGCGGUAAUACGAAGGGGGCUAGCGUUGUUCGGAAUUACUGGGCGUAAAGCGCACGUAGGCGGGUAUUUAAGUCAGGGGUGAAAUCCCGGAGCUCAACUCCGGAACUGCCUUUGAUACUGGGUACCUAGAGUAUGGAAGAGGUAAGUGGAAUUCCGAGUGUAGAGGUGAAAUUYGUAGAUAUUCGGAGGAACACCAGUGGCGAAGGCGGCUUACUGGUCCAUUACUGACGCUGAGGUGCGAAAGCGUGGGGAGCAAACAGGAUUAGAUAC
rnacentral:rRNA from 1 species